AGAGGGUCGCUCGCACUCGUGUUUUUGUUAAAAACUUGAUAUAAGCACAGAAUCUAUUUGCAAGCCCAGAGAGCAACGAGAGGAACCCAAUGGUCUCUGCGUGAGACGGGAACAGUCACUCUGGCAUUUGCCUUUGUCAGGGAACGGUUCAGAAGAUUUAGUGUCCCAAAUUGGCACCCUGUUUACUGAUCAGCUGCCGCUCUGCCCUUGGCAGUCAUCCUUGUGUGCUAUGGGCAAGGGGGAAUUUAAGGAUAAAUUAAAGUGAAAUGGAAACCUAUUUCCUGCUAAAAUUAGCUGUCUUGGUGUUCACCGGGUAUCUCCCACAAUGAUGCACUCUUUCUGGCACCUCGUCCCAGACGCACAGUGCUGUGUGGGGUCAGCCCUCCUUCCUCCCAGCACUCCUCCUCCUCUGUGCCCAGUGGGAGAUGAUUCCUGCCUCAUGGUUCAGCUGGGGACGUGGGCACUGACUGGCUUGUCCCAAUAUGCAAGGGGACCCUGGAGACCAGAGCUGAUAGGUGCCGGGCUCUGCUGCACUGGGCGGGUGCUGCGGGGCACCAAGGUCCUCCUGGGCACCACGGGCCAAGUGGGAGCUCUGGUGGUGCUGCGGUCCAAACCUACGUCUCUGAUGGGCUGUGCCCAAAUCUGCCUCUGGGUACCCCGGCUCCCAGAGGGAUGCUGCUGAGGUCAAGAGCUCAAUUCAAAGCGCAGAGGUGGCAGGUGCCAGGUACUGGUGCUGCUGGGAGUGGAGGUACAUCUGGGAAUGCAGGCUCACCCGGACUGGCGCUAGCCAAAUCUGUAUCACCAGCACAGGUUGUGGUUUUGUCCACUUCUCUUUUUUUGAUGCUUUUUUUAAUUUAGCAAAGCAAUGUUGCAGUACCUCGUUGCUGCAGUUCCCUGUGCACUCUCAUCCUGCAAUGCCAGUUUUUCUCUUCUUAUUAGCAGAGAGAUGGUUUUCCUCCUGCAAGAGGACGAGGCCACAGCCUAGCCAUUGAGCAGUGAUGACGGCUGCACCGCUGCCUUGCACACUGAGGUGCUCUUUGCUGGGCGAUGCUCUUCCAAAAGGCAGUGCAUAACCUCUGAGCUCCCGGCUGACUUCUGGGUGCUAAUAGCAAUGAAAACAAAAUAUUUCAUCUCAAAGCAGAGAAACUUUCAAUGCUGCACUUUAAUUAAAUUAAUAGUCAAAGCAAGGCAGCAUGAUGCAGUGUAACUUCAUCUCUGCAAAGUCUGUUUCUCAGUAAAGUUUAGCAUUGAUAAUUUUGAAUUUACUAAGUCCCCUGUAUUCAGGAAGCUGCCAUAAAUAUAUGACAGAGUAAAGACACUUUCCUUCUUUAAAUGAAGGCUAGAAAUGCUUUUCAUCACUACUAUUUUAAGCAUGGUGAUCUAAAAAGCAAUUCUGUAAGAGGGAGUUUACUUUGAAGAGAUGUCAAGAGUUCCUGAACAUUUUUUUGCCAUUCCUUCAAAGAGCUCAAUAUUUGUUUUUCCUCAGUAUGAGUACUCAUUUCUUUUGGAGGAAUCUGUUUACACUGAAGUUUGCAAUUCUGCAUGCUUAGAAGACCAGUAAUUUUACAGGCUUUAGCUCUAAAAACGCAACCUUCAGCCUUCCAGGAACAUCUUCCCCCUGCAAUUUGUUACCCAUGCAAAGCACCGGGUCCAGGUACUUCCGAGCCCAACCAAUGGAUUGUAUUGCAGAAUGCCAAAGCAGUGAAAAUGGAAGACCAGCAUCACUCUGUGAUAGGCAGAAUCCUCGUGGGGGCGCAAACAUAGCGGAGGGCACGAAGGUAACCCCGCGUGAGUGUGGUAAACCUUCUUCUUCGGCCCCAGCGCCCACCUGGGUGCCAUGAUGAUGCUCGAUGCAGCACCUCCUGCUCCCACCUCCCUCUCCAGGUCCUCCCAGGACUGUGCCAGUACAGCACGUUGACAGCUUUCAGAGGUUGCCAGCAGGGAAGGGCAGUGCUGUACCACCACUGCAUGAGGCCUGUUGCCUGCAGGAGCUUCUCCUCACGGCAGCGAGUGCCACGGGUUGGUGAGGGGCAAGUGCAGGCCGCUGGGAGGAACUGAGGGGGAAGAGAUGGAAGGAGAGGGGAGAAGGGAGGGAAAGGAAGAGGAAAAUGUGACAGGAGGAGUGUGUGGUCUGCAGGGAAGGUGCAGUCUGUGACAAUGGGGAGUGUAACUUUGAUAGCUAUGUUCUGCCAGUAUAAUUCCCUGCCCCAAAUAAUAGUUCUCCAACAAAGACACAGAGGAGCUUUGCAGAGGGAGGUGCCAAUUAGGACAAUUAACAGUUCCCUUCUGCUGAGGGGAUGCUUACACAGCACCCAACGCUCAAGUGAGGUUGGGCUGACCAACUCAUUUCAGAUUGAUUUUUGUGUGUUUUGGAGGCUGCUGCCUCAUCCCUGAGCUGCCAUGACUGGCAGGCGAGGGGCCGACUCUGUCCAACAGCUCAUGGGUGCCCCACACGGGAAACAUGGCUCUGCCCGGCCUGCUGGGCCCUAAUGGGCAUGGCUGUGGCUCCCAAAGUGGUGGGGACUGGUGUCCCAAUACCCGAUAGCUGUCACUGCCAGACAAAAAUGACCAGCCUCUGAACAUAACUGGGAACACCGCAUUGUUGCAAGUCAGGGGCCUAUUUUGGGCUAAUCUGCGAGAUGAGGCAACGCGCUCAUUCUUGUGCAGGAAGGAUUCCAUUGCCGAUAAACAUCAGUAUAUCUUUUUUAGCACAGCAAGCUAAGCAUGAGAGAAGACAACUAUUUAUAAAUACCCUUAGGGGUAAAUAUCAAGCAGAGAAACUGUAGGAGUUGAAGGUUAAUGCUAGCCUGGGAUCAAAUGGGUAUAAAUUAAUCAUGAAUAAGCGCAGACUGGAAAUGAGAAGACCAUUCGCAGUAACGUGAGGAGCAAAACUCUGCAGCGAUUGGAGAGAGGCCUGAGGAGCUGGCAGAAGGGUUGUGCACCCCAACAGAAGUUUCCAAAGACAGAAAAUUGCUUUUGGCUGGGGAUCCCUGGGGGUUCGGUGAGCUACCACUGCUUACCUCGCCUGGGGGUGCCUCCCCUCCCUGGACCACCGUGUGACACGAGCGCCAGGGGCGAGCAGACCGCCUGCUGGUGGGCCAGACCUGUGCUCAGCGAUCUUGGUGGAGAACAGGUGUGUACAAUUUCUGUUUUGCUAAAGGUGGCUGUGGAUGGUGCUGGGACAUGUGCCCCAUUCACAGGCCAGCUCAGCCUGCUGUCCCACUCACUGACUCGGCAAGUGGGGCUUCUCUCUGCCAAGGGACUGGCUGCAGUGUGUGGGCAAACAGAAUACCUAGAAGGUCCAAAUAAAUAACGUGUUCAUCUUCUUUCUGCAAGACAGAAGAUGCAGUCGUAGGUUAAUCGUAUCUUAUUUUCCUUAUAAUGCCUAUUUUCCUAAUAAAUACCAGUCCCUGUGGCAUUAGAGAUGGGCUGAGACAGAAACUGCCCAGCUCUCCCAUUUACUUUAUGGAUUCCCUCAGUUCCCUGUUGGCAGCUUCAGGCCAGUUUAGAUUAUUUCUCUCAGCUAUAUCACGUCACAGUAUUUCUGUGGGCUCUCAAGAAACCACCCUGCACUCUCGAGGUCAUCCGCCUCUCUUGCUGGUACAUAGUGUAAGCCAAGAAUAUUUAAAGCAUGAUUUUGUAUUAUAUCAAGCUGCUCUAGAAUGCACUCUGCACUGAUUAACAGGUAAUUAUGGAAGACAAGUUUCACACAGUCCCCAAAUUGCCUGGUAUCCAAUGCUCAGCUGAAAUAAGCUGGUGCCUUGCUAGUGGCCUGCUGACACAGAGCAACAGCAGGCCGGGUCCCUGAUGUGCUUUGGGGAAUGUGUUGGACAAGACCCAUAAAGCUGACAGUGAGACUGAAAAAUCAGAGGAUCUUCAAUGAAAUAAGACACCAGAAGAAUGCUGCAAGUACAGGAUAAACAACUUUUUGAGUGUUAAGUUGAAGAACACUCUUUGAGGCUACUGGGCUGGCUUAACAUCUUAUCAGCAAGAUGCUUGGACCAUGGGACGUAGCUGAGCAGCACGCACUGAAGCAGUCCCAGCUGUCCUGCCCAGGUUCCCACAUGUGUACGGCACAGGGAAAGUGAGGAGCUGCAAGCUGAAGGGCUGCAAAGGAGGAAGGCGAAGACGGUGAUGAGCUGCUGUGUGCCCCAGCAGAGGUGGGUGAUGCAGGAGCAGCUCCUCAAGCACAGCCAUCAGCACAGCAGAGACAGAAAGGCACCUUCUUGUUCCCUUCAGUGGACACGGAAAUCUAUUGGUCCUGGUAACCUUAUGUCUGAAAACACAUUACCUCCUACUCCACAAGCUCCUACUACCAUAAAAAUUGCUUGUUGCAAACUGAGCUGAGUCACGUAUGGGCAUCUUUUCCCUGAUUCUUUGUGAAGGGUCCACUCCAUGAAAAUACGAAAAACCUUGGGGAAAAAAAAAGAUCCACAUAUAAAUACUGAAGAAUGCAAGUCAUAAAGCAAUUCACAUUUUUUCCAGCCAUGACGAGCACAUAAUGGCAGCUCCAGGCGGCACAUGGCUCUGCAGCAAGGCAUUGAGCGAGAGGCAGCAGCUGUUAGUGAGCCGUGGCAAAUGCCACGCGUUCACGUUCGCAGCCCAGGUGGCUGCUCACAGGAUGCAGCAGCAGCAAACCCAUCCGCUGGGGCAGGAGCACCAGGCAGCGUGCUGGAGCUCGGCACGGAGCUGUGUCCAGAGGCUGUUGUGAACCGCAAGCGUGCUGGCUGCAACACAGCAGAUUGCAAAAAACAAACAAACAAACGAAUAUCUGAAGCUUUCUUUGUGGAAACAAGACAUUUCACCAAAAAAAAUGCGCCUCGUGGAGACGGAUCUGUUAUGAUGCUAAACUUUGGGUGAAAAUUUUGGGGACCAGGGCGAGAGCCAGACCCCUGUCUCAGAUUCAGCAUAUACACGACAUCAAAGCAUUUCAGUGAAUUCUUCAUUCCAUUUACACGCCAGCUCUCUGGUGAUGGAGUCAGACGUGUUGUGGUAGUCCUGCAAGCCAUAAAGCCAUCCAGCUUCUCUGCCACUGCUGCAGUUCUUAUUGCUGCAGCAUGGCUCUCAGGAGUGUGGUGCAGCGGGGACCGGACAGUGACGUGGCUGCCUGGGCUCUGGAUGCUCACCUUGGCCAAAGCAUCACAUCGCACAGGUGCCAGGUUUCGACUCCCCAUGCAGCUCUUGCCAUGUGGGCACAGCGGCCUAAGGACAUGUUGGGAACCACGUGCAGUAAGGAUGCUACGCAGCCAUGCCAAACUCUGGGGUUUGAUGUUUGCGUUUUGGUACAAAAGAAAAAGGAAAAUGAGGGCUGCUCUGGGACAGCCCUGCUCAGAAGUGAUGGCUGGGGUGAGGUGUUGACCCCGUGGCUCUGCAGGAUGCUGUUGUCAUACGGCUGCAGGAACAGAGCAGGCUGGCUGAGCACUGCUCAUCUACCUCAGUGCAAAGUUACUCUCCUAAUGGAUAUUUUUUUCAAAGUUACUAAGAUGUUACCUAGUUACCAUAGCCUGGUAACCAUUUAGACAGAUCGGGGCUUUUCCUUACCACCAGGUAGGCAAGUGACCCUCACUGAGUCGGUCGGUCCAGUGACACUGAAACCGCCCAGCUGCAAACCUGAGUGACACUCCAUAAGAAAUUUAUUUGAAGCGUUCAGAGGAACACUGCGGUAUGAGGUGAGUUAUGAUUAGUCUUGACAAUGCUAAUUCAAUUUAAAAUAUGCUUAACUGGUUUAAAAAUAAAACUUCAGCCUCCCUUCCACUGCAACCCAGUCCUGAAGCUAUUUCAGCGUGUGUUGCCCAUCCCAUGCCUUAUUUUCUGAUUCGGCUGUGAGGUUACUAUUAAUAGCCCAGAAGCUGGGGGGAGGAAGUGUGACUACCGAGUUCUGCAAACAGUUUUAUGUGCGCGCGCUUCUCGGCUGUGGGCGAGUGGUGCCAGCCCGCCCCGUGUGCCGCCGGGGUCAGCCCUGGCCACGUUGGACCACCCAUCCCUCCCCGCGCGCGUUGCUAAGAGACCUGCUCUCCUCCGCUGAGCUUCGUGGAGAGGAGCACAUCAAAGACACCCACAGCCCUGAAUGGUUUUAUAAAUGAAUUUAAAGAGGCACUCUCUCGUGCUGUGUUAUGCGGGGGGGAGAUCAAAAGUUGCUCUAUGUGCGGAGAGCAGCUGGAGAAUUGAACUGGCUUCUUCUGGAAAAUAAGUGCUCUCAUUACUGAGAACCAUGUUGUAUUUACUUUUCUUUUCUUUUUUUUUUUUUUUUUGCUUUUUUUCAGAACUAGACUACAAAUUUAUGCUAAUUAAUGUUUUCAGUUUUAUGGCAGGCAAGACAUUGAACGCAGGCCAGGGUGCGUGUUUGUACGACUUUCAAAAGUAAGGUUUUCUGUCAUCAAGUGACAGGCUGUUUUUGAUUAACUCUCUUCAUCUCUGAAAAUAUUUCAUUCUCUAAAUUUUAAUUGCUUUUCUGACUUACAUUGAAGUUGAGGAAAUCACAGGGUAAACAUCAAGUGAAACAUCUUUAAAAGAAUAAAUGAUGAGAAAAUAAUCUGAGUAAAUCGAUAUUUGUUCUGUCAGGCUGAAAAGCUAGGACACGAAUAUCUCAGACCUUUCUGAAAAGAAUGAAAACCAAAUAAAAAAAUCUUUAAUUAAAAAAAUCUGGGUAUAUAUAUAUGUUUAAACAUUACCUCUUGCCAGACCAGCACUUACCUGGCAUCUGCUCAGCUCUUCUAUUCUGCACAGGCUGUGGGGUCUAAGAGCACACUGGCAGCUCAGGCGAGCAUUUCCUGAAACAGAAAAGGCAGGAAUUAUUUGCUUAUCUACUUGGUUUCAAACACCAUCAACAUGUGGUAAAAAGGGAAGAAAAAAAAAAACAGCAAUGAGUAAGAAAGUGCAAGACUUUCAUUUUCAAAGACACCAUGGUUGCACAGCCUUGGGAAAAGCGAGAGGAACCCAAAUAACGUGCUAACAGUGCUGCCCGAGCAAGCCAGACAGAUCAUUUGCGUGGGAAGCAAAACUCCCAGGUCAAAUGGCUGCAAAAAAGGUGUCUUGAAAAUCACAUGUAAAAUUCUUUCCAUGUGCAUAUCUCAGUUGCUUUGUGACCAGCCACCCUAGCCACAUAAGCGAACGUCUCCUUUAAAGCAGUUUCAGGGGCUCGUUCACACAAGCAGGUGCUCGUGCAACUGCAGGCAGAAAAUCUCUGGCUUCAGGUGCAGCGUGUACCCAUAUUAUCUCCUCUCCUUGCAGUGUGCCUGGUGGCUGAGCAGAGCUCGCUUCUCGCUCUCUGCCUGUGCCUGCAAUCUCGCAUAAAUCUGAGGGUAGAUUAGUGAAACCUAAUACACUCCAGGACUGUAAAGGGAUUAAUCUCACAUAAAUCUUCACCAAAAAAAAAAAAAAAGGCAUUAGUAUUUAUUUACAUGUGUUUUAUUUUCCAAUGAGGAAAAAGCCUCCUUUUUUUCCUGCAUCAGUAAAAGUCUCUUCAAAAUUCAAAUGGCUUAGACUUUGCAUUUAAAAUCCCCUGCACUACCGUUAACCUAUAUUCUAGAGCUCAAAUAAAAAACUAAAAGCAUGUAUUUUAGAAAAGAGCUUAGCUAGCUUUUCCAUUUCAUUACUAGAUAUCUAUUACAGGGGCAAGAUGUGUACUGUCUUCUCACUGAUAGACUGUUUUAUAUAUAAACAUCUUGACCACCACUGUGUUGUCAGCGGUUAGUAGAUUCGGUGUGUUUUGGCUGAAUUUCUGAAGGGGAAAACUGUGACUUGCACUCUAAAUAUUUUUUCUGGAGAACGGAUUCCUCAACAGACUAUGGGCAUCUUGUACAAAAUACCAGCAAACAUUCCGAGAGGAGCACAGCACUGCCAACUCACCAGCCUUGGAAACCAAAAUCUGGGUGACCCGCGGGCUCCCUCCAUACCACCACCUGCUCCACACGGGUGCACGGUCACAAGGGCUGGGAAAGAAACGAUGUCUGCUGCGAGCAGAUGCGCUUACUGGUUGCUACUGGCAUUUAUGGCAAGCCUAUUUCAGGAUCCUGACUGAGUUUUGAGAUCCACUUUGAUCAAACUUGAGUUUAAGGAUACUGUAAAACAUCCACAGGAGUGGGGCAGGCGGAUCACGGCUGGGAGCAGGCAGGGCAGAGGCUGGGGUGAGGAGCAAGAAGCCAUGGUUUUGGAAGCUGGGAAGGCGCUGAAGGCCAUUGUGAAUGUUAAUAAUGUUAUUUCGUGUUUUUACAGUGCUUUGUGUGCUUAAAGCACUGCAUAGACUACUAGUAAUUAGUGAUCUGGAUGUUUCUGAAAUGAUCAGAAGUAUCAUUUAAAUUGUCGUUAAAAUACAAUUAGCAGCCCUUUGAACUGAGUGCUGUAGUUCAGAGCAGUCUAAUUGGUGGCUUGUGGGGCAGAUCGGACAGCGGGAGGAGGCUGGCUGCUUCUCCUCGCCUCUCACUGUGCCUGCCCCAGGAGCAGCAGCCAUACCCCUCGACACGGAGAGCCCUGAUGGGGCUGGAGGGGCAAUGGCACAAAGCACCCCUUGUGUGCAGCCCACUGCACUGAAACCCAGGGAUUUCUUAGAGCUCACUGAACUCUGCGUGCAGAUUCAAGCAGGUGCUGCUUCACCACUUUAUACUGAAUAUUUCAAAACAAUUCAACUUUUCUGUUUUUUGUGGUUUUUCUUUUGUUUUGUUUUGUUUUUACUUGACUUUCCGAGCACUUGGCUUUUUGCAGCAGCAAAAGCUGCUGUGGCAAGGUUUGUAGGGGUGAAAUUCUGGAGCCUAUGGGCAGUAGGUGGUGAGACCAACAACUGAACCAUCUGCAUCCUUCGGUAGAAGGGAUGACGCUCUGGCAGUGUAUUGGCACGUGUUUAGCUAAGACAAAGAGUUGUGUUAUUGUAGCAGACUGAAAGCGAAGGUCUGGCUUGGAUAGUGUUCCUAAACCUGGCAUCCGUACCGCACGUUUAGGUAGCUAAAUCUGUCACUCACAUGCUUUAGAUACUUGUGUUAAUUGCAUAAAUGUCAACAAAAAAUGGCAUGUUUUUAAAGUGUUAGAAGUGUAAAUAGCUGCUCUUCUGAAAUGGCCCCAGUGUAUAUAUUUUUAGCUUCCACAAUCUCUUCUGAAUAUGCCACUUGCAAAUGUAUCGUAUUUCUUGUAGUAUCUAGCUAUAGUAAUGUAUUAGUAGCUAUAAUACUACUGAUUCUCCUGCAUAAAGCACUGUAGAAUAUACUUUAAAUACUGGCUUUUUGUAUGUCUCACACAAGUAUUCAUUAAUACCAAGCGAACAGCAUGCUACUGUUCCAGGUUUUCUAAGAACCAGUGCUAUCGCUCUCCACCAGCUCCUGUUGCCAGCUUCACAAUGCCUUUAUUAUUUAUGCUUUUACUCUUG